UGCAGUCGACGCAUCGCAAGAUGAGUGGCAGACGGGUGAGUAACGCGUGGGAACAUACCCUUUUCUACGGAAUAGCUCUGGGAAACUGGAAUUAAUACCGUAUACGCCCUACGGGGGAAAGAUUUAUCGGGGAAGGAUUGGCCCGCGUUGGAUUAGCUAGUUGGUGGGGUAAAGGCCUACCAAGGCGACGAUCCAUAGCUGGUCUGAGAGGAUGAUCAGCCACAUUGGGACUGAGACACGGCCCAAACUCCUACGGGAGGCAGCAGUGGGGAAUAUUGGACAAUGGGCGCAAGCCUGAUCCAGCCAUGCCGCGUGAGUGAUGAAGGCCUUAGGGUUGUAAAGCUCUUUCACCGAUGAAGAUAAUGACGGUAGUCGGAGAAGAAGCCCCGGCUAACUUCGUGCCAGCAGCCGCGGUAAUACGAAGGGGGCUAGCGUUGUUCGGAAUUACUGGGCGUAAAGCGCACGUAGGCGGAUAUUUAAGUCAGGGGUGAAAUCCCAGAGCUCAACUCUGGAACUGCCUUUGAUACUGGGUAUCUUGAGUAUGGAAGAGG
rnacentral:rRNA from 1 species